rnacentral:rRNA from 2 species
GUUAUAUGGUCAAGUGACCAAGUGCACACGGUGGAUGCCUAGGCAAUCAGAGGCGAUGAAGGACGUGGAAGUCUGCGAUAAGCGUCGGUGAGGUGACAAACAACCGUUAUAACCGACGAUUUCCGAAUGGGGAAACCCACCUGUCAUAAGACAGGUAUCUCUGGCGUGAAUACAUAGCACCAGAGAGGCGAACCCGGGGAACUGAAACAUCUAAGUACCCGGAGGAAAAGAAAUCAACCGAGAUUCCGUUAGUAGCGGCGAGCGAACGCGGAUUAGCCCUUAAGCUUUUACAUGGAUAAGAGAACGGUCUGGAAAGUCCGGCGACAGAGGGUGAUAGCCCCGUAUCUGAAAUCCUGUUUUAAGUGAAAUCGAGUAGGUCGGGACACGUGAUAUCCUGAUUGAACAUGGGGGGACCAUCCUCCAAGGCUAAAUACUCCUGAUUGACCGAUAGUGAACCAGUACCGUGAGGGAAAGGCGAAAAGAACCCCGUUUAGGGGAGUGAAAUAGAUCCUGAAACCGUGUGCAUACAAGCAGUAGGAGCAGACUUGUUCUGUGACUGCGUACCUUUUGUAUAAUGGGUCAGCGACUUACAUUUUGUAGCAAGGUUAACCGAUUAGGGGAGCCGUAGAGAAAUCGAGUCUUAAAUGGGCGUCAUAGUUGCAAGGUGUAGACCCGAAACCCGGCGAUCUAUCCAUGGGCAGGUUGAAGGUUGAGUAACAUCAACUGGAGGACCGAACCGACUGUCGUUGAAAAGCCAGCGGAUGACUUGUGGAUCGGAGUGAAAGGCUAAUCAAGCCGGGAGAUAGCUGGUUCUCCUCGAAAGCUAUUUAGGUAGCGCCUCGCAUCUUACUAUUGGGGGUAGAGCACUGUUAAGGCUAGGGGGUCAUCCCGACUUACCAACCCUUUGCAAACUACGAAUACCAAUAAGUACAAUUGCGGGAGACACACGGCGGGUGCUAACGUCCGUCGUGGAAAGGGAAACAACCCAGACCGUCAGCUAAGGUCCCCAAGUAAUGGUUAAGUGGGAAACGUUGUGGGAAGGCAUAGACAGCUAGGAUGUUGGCUUAGAAGCAGCCAUCAUUUAAAGAAAGCGUAAUAGCUCACUAGUCGAGUCGGCCUGCGCGGAAGAUUUAACGGGGCUUAAACCAUUCACCGAAGCUACGGAUGCAUAGCUUGCUAUGCAUGGUAGAGGAGCGUUCUGUAAGCCUGCGAAGGUCAAUUGAGAAGUUGGCUGGAGGUAUCAGAAGUGCGAAUGCUGACAUGAGUAACGAUAAGGGGAGUGAGAUGCUCCCCCGCCGAAAGACCAAGGGUUCCUGUUCUAUGCUAAUCAGAGCAGGGUGAGUCGGCCCCUAAGGCAAGGCUGAAAAGCGUAGUCGAUGGGAAGCGGGUUAAUAUUCCCGCACUAGUGUUCACUGCGAUGGGGUGACGGAGUAGGUUAGGCUAGCACGGCGUUGGUUGUCCGUGUUUAAGGUUGUAGGCUGGGAAUUUAGGCAAAUCCGGAUUCCUAAGGCUGAGAACUGAUGACGAGUCUCCACGGAGAUGAAGUAGUUGAUACCAUGCUUCCAGGAAAAACCUCUAAGCUUCAGGUGAACAGUAACCGUACCCCAAACCGACACAGGUGGUCAGGUAGAGAAUACCAAGGCGCUUGAGAGAACUCGGGUGAAGGAACUAGGCAAAAUGGUACCGUAACUUCGGGAGAAGGUACGCCGGUAUUGGUGAUGGAACUUGCUUCCUGAGCUGACGCUGGCCGAAGUAACCAGGUGGCUGCGACUGUUUAUUAAAAACACAGCACUCUGCAAACACGUAAGUGGAAGUAUAGGGUGUGACGCCUGCCCGGUGCCGGAAGGUUAAUUGAUGGGGUUAGCGCAAGCGAAGCUCUUGAUCGAAGCCCCGGUAAACGGCGGCCGUAACUAUAACGGUCCUAAGGUAGCGAAAUUCCUUGUCGGGUAAGUUCCGACCUGCACGAAUGGCGUAACGAUGGCCACACUGUCUCCACCCGAGACUCAGUGAAAUUGAAAUCGCUGUGAAGAUGCAGUGUACCCGCGGCUAGACGGAAAGACCCCGUGCACCUUUACUACAGCUUUGCACUGGACCUUGAGCCUACUUGUGUAGGAUAGGUGGGAGACUUUGAAGCGUUGUCGCUAGAUGACGUGGAGUCAAUCUUGAAAUACCACCCUGGUAUGCUUGAGGUUCUAACCCAGGCCCGUAAUCCGGGUCGGGGACAGUGUAUGGUGGGUAGUUUGACUGGGGCGGUCUCCUCCCAAAGAGUAACGGAGGAGCACGAAGGUCGGCUAAUCCUGGUCGGACAUCAGGAGGUUAGUGCAAUGGCAUAAGCCGGCUUAACUGCGAGAUAGACACAUCGAGCAGGUACGAAAGUAGGUCAUAGUGAUCCGGUGGUUCUGUAUGGAAGGGCCAUCGCUCAACGGAUAAAAGGUACGCCGGGGAUAACAGGCUGAUACCGCCCAAGAGUUCAUAUCGACGGCGGUGUUUGGCACCUCGAUGUCGGCUCAUCACAUCCUGGGGCUGUAGCCGGUCCCAAGGGUAUGGCUGUUCGCCAUUUAAAGUGGUACGCGAGCUGGGUUUAGAACGUCGUGAGACAGUUCGGUCCCUAUCUACCGUGGGCGUUAGAGAUUUGAGGGAAGCUGCUCCUAGUACGAGAGGACCGGAGUGGACGAACCCCUGGUGUUCGGGUUGUCAUGCCAAUGGCAUUGCCCGGUAGCUACGUUCGGACGGGAUAAGCGCUGAAAGCAUCUAAGCGCGAAGCCUCUCCCAAGAUGAGAUCUCUCUGGACCUUGAGUCCCUGAAGGGUCGUUGAAGACUACAACGUUGAUAGGCAGGGUGUGUAAGCACUGUAAGGUGUUGAGCUAACCUGUACUAAUUGCCCGUGAGGCUUGACCAUAUAACACCCAAGCAGUU